rnacentral:rRNA from 1 species
UACGUAGGGGGGCAAGCGUUGUCCGGAAUCAUUGGGCGUAAAGAGCGUGUAGGCGGCCAGAUAAGUCCGCUGUGAAAUCUCGAGGCUCAACUUCGAGCUGUCGGUGGAAACUGUCUGGCUAGAGUCCGGAAGGGGCGAGUGGAAUUCCUGGUGUAGCGGUGAAAUGCGCAGAUAUCAGGAGGAACACCUAUGGCGAAGGCAGCUCGCUGGGACGGUACUGACGCUGAGGCGCGAAAGCGUGGGGAGCGAACAGG